rnacentral:tRNA from 1 species
GCGCUCCCGUAGCUCAAUUGGAUAGAGCGUCGGCCUCCGAAGCCGAAGGUUACAGGUUCAAAUCCUGUCGGGUGCA